GAAAGAGGAUUGCGCCGGCGUGCUGGGCUCACUGCCGUCGCAGUCGCCGUCGCGCCUUGCUGCGGUCAGCUUCACCGUCGCGUCCUGCCAUCCUUGCCACUAUGGAGCUGUUCCGAUCUGGACUGAGGGAGAGAGAUUGAAAGGAGGCCGCUGCCCAAUCCGCGCCACCGUUGUCCUCACCACCACCGCACGAGGAGCUUCCAUGGCCACUGCUGUCAAGCUCGCAGAUGGAAGAAGCAGGGAUGACGCGAGGAAGAAAGGGAGUCAUCGCGCUCUGCCACCGCGAGCCCUGUCGCACCCUGCGCCACCGAGGGUUCCGUCCUUGUCAGAUCCGUCACCCUCACUAGGUCCUCA